UAUCUCUGUAGAGUCUGCAUAUCAAUAAGCGGAGGAAAAGAAACUAACAAGGAUUCCCCUAGUAACGGCGAGUGAAGCGGGAAGAGCUCAAAUUUGAAAUCUUCAAGGUUUGACCUUGACGAAUUGUAGUUUAAAGAAGUGUUUUCGGUUAGAGGAGUAGUAAAAGUUCUUUGGAAUAGGGCAUCAUAGAGGGUGAGAAUCCCGUAUUUGACUAUUCUUUCUAGCUUUGUGAUACACUUUCAAAGAGUCGGAUUGUUUGGGAAUGCAGUCCAAAAUGGGUGGUAAAUUUCAUCUAAAGCUAAAUAUUGGCGAGAGACCGAUAGCGAACAAGUACCGUGAGGGAAAGAUGAAAAGAACUUUGAAAAGAGAGUUAAACAGUACGUGAAAUUGUCAAAAGGGAAGCGUUUGACACCAGUGUUGUUUUUCCGAAAAUCAAUUAAAAAUUGAUUCAUGCCAGGUUGUAUUGACCUUAUCAGCUUGCAAUUUGGUUUUGGGUCUCUUUUUGAUGCACUUUUCGGUUAACAAGUCAACAUCAAUUUCCUUUGCUGUAAAAAGGUAAGAGGAAGGUGGCUUCAAUUUCGGUUGAAGUGUUUAUAGCCUUUAAUCUCUGCAGUCGGGGAGAUUGAGGUCUGCAGCGUAGAUCCUUCGGGGCUAGAUACAUUUAUGCUAAGUUAUAGCUUUUCAUAGACAACUUGUUGACUAUGUUUAGUCAUGUAGCUUACUCGUAAGUGCUAUUUUACCUACGCUUAGGAUGUUGAGCGCAUGUCUCUCUCU
rnacentral:rRNA from 1 species